GAUGAACGCUGGCGGCGUGCUUAAUACAUGCAAGUCGAACGGAGGUAUGUAGCAAUACGUAUCUUAGUGGCGAACGGGUGAGUAACGCGUUGGUGACCUGCCCCAGAGAGGGGGAUAACAGUUCGAAAGGACUGCUAAUACCGCAUGUGAUCAUUAGUUUUAGAAUCUAGUGAUUAAAGCAGUAAUGCGCUUUGGGAGGGACCUGCGUCCCAUCAGCUAGUUGGUGAGGUAAUGGCUCACCAAGGCUACGACGGGUAGGGAACCUGAGAGGGUGGUUCCCCACACUGGCACUGAAACACGGGCCAGACACCUACGGGAGGCUG
rnacentral:rRNA from 1 species